GAUGAACGCUGGCGGCGUGCCUAAUACAUCCAAUUCGAGCGAACAUACUAUUAGCUUGCUCCUCUGACUUUAGCUGCUGACGGUUUUGUAACACUUUUAUAACCUACCUUUAAUACUUUGUUAACUUCUGUAACCCUUAUCUAUUACCGUUUAAUAUUUUUAACCGCUUUGUUCAAUAUUUAAUCACGUUUUUUCUGUCUCUUUUAUAUUUUUCCGCGCCGCAUUAUCUAGUUGGUAAUGUAACGCCUUACCAAGGCAACGAUGCAUAGCCGACAUGAGAGGGUGAUCGGCCAAACUGGAACUGAGACACGGUACAGAAUCCUACGGGAGGAAGCAGUAGGGAAUAUUCAGCAAAGGGCGAAAGCCUGACGGAGCAAAGCCGCGUGAGUGAUGAAGGUCUUCGGAUCGUAAAACUCUGUUAUUAGGGAAGAAAAAAUGUGGAAGAAAAUAUGAACGUAUUGACGGUAACUAAACAGAAAGCAACGGCUAACUACGUG
rnacentral:rRNA from 1 species